UUGGUUCACCACACGGAAUUUAAUUUAUUAUUUAAUCGUGAACCCCUGCAUCCGGAAGGAACCGCCUUGCUACACGCGCCAAUCUACAGGCCACCAGCAUAUACAUGGACCAAGGAAUAUUCCAUACUUGCGACGAAAUAACAACUGAACCAAGAUGACCAAGAAAUCCGAUACCACCUUAACAUAUAUAUAUAACUGUUAGCAGAAAAAACGUACCACGGGCGCCGAUCUUAAAUGAACUAGGAAUUCACAACCAUGCUAUUAAACAGAACAACUACUGCAGACGAUCCAAAAAUUAUAGAGAGUCACCAAAUAAUUAACAAGGGAACAUUUUUUGACAAUUUUAUUUUACAUAGCGGCGACCAUAAUCUUCCUAUGUGUUGCCGACGCGCCAGGAAGUAGUAACCUCCAACAAUGGCCAGGUUGGAAGAGAAGCCUUGCGAAGUGGUAGGAACCAUGGGAAGUUCGUCCAAUUAGAUACCAAGCCAUUAGAACAAUCUCAUGUAUCAUAUAAUAGUAAAACAAACUCAAGUUACAUUGUAAACAAACUUUAAUUUUCUAUAUUUAUCUUAUCUAUUUAUAACUCUGUAUUGCUACUUUCACUUUUCAUUGUUUCUCUCACCAUGACGACGUCAAAUUUCAUGCACCACUUUGAGUACUUCAGGGAUUAAAUUCUGUAUAAAAAUUGUCCUGAUGAAGCCUGCCUUGCAGGCGAAACAUGUAGACAUAGAUAAUAAAAUUGCAGAUCUUUUGAAGUGUUGUUGUCAAUUUUAAUUAUUAUUUAAGGAUUGCAUUCAUUUGCAUGAUUUGACAACCCGGCAUACCAAGGUAUCCACUUCAGGGACUCUACCAAAACGAUUUCACAGGCGUUGGUUCACCACACGGAAUUUAAUUUAUUAUUUAAUCGUGAACCCCUGCAUCCGAAAGGAACCGCCUUGCUACACGCGCCAAUCUACAGGCCACCAGCAUAUACAUGGACCAAGGAAUAUUCCAUACUUGCGACGAAAUAACAACUGAACCAAGAUGACCAAGAAAUCCGAUACCACCUUAACAUAUAUAUAUAACUGUUAGCAGAAAAAACGUACCACGGGCGCCGAUCUUAAAUGAACUAGGAAUUCACAACCAUGCUAUUAAACAGAACAACUACUGCAGACGAUCCAAAAAUUAUAGAGAGUCACCAAAUAAUUAACAAGGGAACAUUUUUUGACAAUUUUAUUUUACAUAGCGGCGACCAUAAUCUUCCUAUGUGUUGCCGACGCGCCAGGAAGUAGUAACCUCCAACAAUGGCCAGGUUGGAAGAGAAGCCUUGCGAAGUGGUAGGAACCAUGGGAAGUUCGUCCAAUUAGAUACCAAGCCAUUAGAACAAUUUCAUGUAUCAUAUAAUAGUAAAACAAACUCAAGUUACAUUGUAAACAAACUUUAAUUUUCUAUAUUUAUCUUAUCUAUUUAUAACUCUGUAUUGCUACUUUCACUUUUCAUUGUUUCUCUCACCAUGACGACGUCAAAUUUCAUGCACCACUUUGAGUACUUCAGGGAUUAAAUUCUGUAUAAAAAUUGUCCUGAUGAAGCCUGCCUUGCAGGCGAAACAUGUAGACAUAGAUAAUAAAAUUGCAGAUCUUUUGAAGUGUUGUUGUCAAUUUUAAUUAUUAUUUAAGGAUUGCAUUCAUUUGCAUGAUUUGACAACCCGGCAUACCAAGGUAUCCACUUCAGGGACUCUACCAAAACGAUUUCACAGGCGUUGGUUCACCACACGGAAUUUAAUUUAUUAUUUAAUCGUGAACCCCUGCAUCCGAAAGGAACCGCCUUGCUACACGCGCCAAUCUACAGGCCACCAGCAUAUACAUGGACCAAGGAAUAUUCCAUACUUGCGACGAAAUAACAACUGAACCAAGAUGACCAAGAAAUCCGAUACCACCUUAACAUAUAUAUAUAACUGUUAGCAGAAAAAACGUACCACGGGCGCCGAUCUUAAAUGAACUAGGAAUUCACAACCAUGCUAUUAAACAGAACAACUACUGCAGACGAUCCAAAAAUUAUAGAGAGUCACCAAAUAAUUAACAAGGGAACAUUUUUUGACAAUUUUAUUUUACAUAGCGGCGACCAUAAUCUUCCUAUGUGUUGCCGACGCGCCAGGAAGUAGUAACCUCCAACAAUGGCCAGGUUGGAAGAGAAGCCUUGCGAAGUGGUAGGAACCAUGGGAAGUUCGUCCAAUUAGAUACCAAGCCAUUAGAACAAUUUCAUGUAUCAUAUAAUAGUAAAACAAACUCAAGUUACAUUGUAAACAAACUUUAAUUUUCUAUAUUUAUCUUAUCUAUUUAUAACUCUGUAUUGCUACUUUCACUUUUCAUUGUUUCUCUCACCAUGACGACGUCAAAUUUCAUGCACCACUUUGAGUACUUCAGGGAUUAAAUUCUGUAUAAAAAUUGUCCUGAUGAAGCCUGCCUUGCAGGCGAAACAUGUAGACAUAGAUAAUAAAAUUGCAGAUCUUUUGAAGUGUUGUUGUCAAUUUUAAUUAUUAUUUAAGGAUUGCAUUCAUUUGCAUGAUUUGACAACCCGGCAUACCAAGGUAUCCACUUCAGGGACUCUACCAAAACGAUUUCACAGGCGUUGGUUCACCACACGGAAUUUAAUUUAUUAUUUAAUCGUGAACCCCUGCAUCCGAAAGGAACCGCCUUGCUACACGCGCCAAUCUACAGGCCACCAGCAUAUACAUGGACCAAGGAAUAUUCCAUACUUGCGACGAAAUAACAACUGAACCAAGAUGACCAAGAAAUCCGAUACCACCUUAACAUAUAUAUAUAUAACUGUUAGCAGAAAAAACGUACCACGGGCGCCGAUCUUAAAUGAACUAGGAAUUCACAACCAUGCUAUUAAACAGAACAACUACUGCAGACGAUCCAAAAAUUAUAGAGAGUCACCAAAUAAUUAACAAGGGAACAUUUUUUGACAAUUUUAUUUUACAUAGCGGCGACCAUAAUCUUCCUAUGUGUUGCCGACGCGCCAGGAAGUAGUAACCUCCAACAAUGGCCAGGUUGGAAGAGAAGCCUUGCGAAGUGGUAGGAACCAUGGGAAGUUCGUCCAAUUAGAUACCAAGCCAUUAGAACAAUUUCAUGUAUCAUAUAAUAGUAAAACAAACUCAAGUUACAUUGUAAACAAACUUUAAUUUUCUAUAUUUAUCUUAUCUAUUUAUAACUCUGUAUUGCUACUUUCACUUUUCAUUGUUUCUCUCACCAUGACGACGUCAAAUUUCAUGCACCACUUUGAGUACUUCAGGGAUUAAAUUCUGUAUAAAAAUUGUCCUGAUGAAGCCUGCCUUGCAGGCGAAACAUGUAGACAUAGAUAAUAAAAUUGCAGAUCUUUUGAAGUGUUGUUGUCAAUUUUAAUUAUUAUUUAAGGAUUGCAUUCAUUUGCAUGAUUUGACAACCCGGCAUACCAAGGUAUCCACUUCAGGGACUCUACCAAAACGAUUUCACAGGCGUUGGUUCACCACACGGAAUUUAAUUUAUUAUUUAAUCGUGAACCCCUGCAUCCGAAAGGAACCGCCUUGCUACACGCGCCAAUCUACAGGCCACCAGCAUAUACAUGGACCAAGGAAUAUUCCAUACUUGCGACGAAAUAACAACUGAACCAAGAUGACCAAGAAAUCCGAUACCACCUUAACAUAUAUAUAUAACUGUUAGCAGAAAAAACGUACCACGGGCGCCGAUCUUAAAUGAACUAGGAAUUCACAACCAUGCUAUUAAACAGAACAACUACUGCAGACGAUCCAAAAAUUAUAGAGAGUCACCAAAUAAUUAACAAGGGAACAUUUUUUGACAAUUUUAUUUUACAUAGCGGCGACCAUAAUCUUCCUAUGUGUUGCCGACGCGCCAGGAAGUAGUAACCUCCAACAAUGGCCAGGUUGGAAGAGAAGCCUUGCGAAGUGGUAGGAACCAUGGGAAGUUCGUCCAAUUAGAUACCAAGCCAUUAGAACAAUUUCAUGUAUCAUAUAAUAGUAAAACAAACUCAAGUUACAUUGUAAACAAACUUUAAUUUUCUAUAUUUAUCUUAUCUAUUUAUAACUCUGUAUUGCUACUUUCACUUUUCAUUGUUUCUCUCACCAUGACGACGUCAAAUUUCAUGCACCACUUUGAGUACUUCAGGGAUUAAAUUCUGUAUAAAAAUUGUCCUGAUGAAGCCUGCCUUGCAGGCGAAACAUGUAGACAUAGAUAAUAAAAUUGCAGAUCUUUUGAAGUGUUGUUGUCAAUUUUAAUUAUUAUUUAAGGAUUGCAUUCAUUUGCAUGAUUUGACAACCCGGCAUACCAAGGUAUCCACUUCAGGGACUCUACCAAAACGAUUUCACAGGCGUUGGUUCACCACACGGAAUUUAAUUUAUUAUUUAAUCGUGAACCCCUGCAUCCGAAAGGAACCGCCUUGCUACACGCGCCAAUCUACAGGCCACCAGCAUAUACAUGGACCAAGGAAUAUUCCAUACUUGCGACGAAAUAACAACUGAACCAAGAUGACCAAGAAAUCCGAUACCACCUUAACAUAUAUAUAUAACUGUUAGCAGAAAAAACGUACCACGGGCGCCGAUCUUAAAUGAACUAGGAAUUCACAACCAUGCUAUUAAACAGAACAACUACUGCAGACGAUCCAAAAAUUAUAGAGAGUCACCAAAUAAUUAACAAGGGAACAUUUUUUGACAAUUUUAUUUUACAUAGCGGCGACCAUAAUCUUCCUAUGUGUUGCCGACGCGCCAGGAAGUAGUAACCUCCAACAAUGGCCAGGUUGGAAGAGAAGCCUUGCGAAGUGGUAGGAACCAUGGGAAGUUCGUCCAAUUAGAUACCAAGCCAUUAGAACAAUUUCAUGUAUCAUAUAAUAGUAAAACAAACUCAAGUUACAUUGUAAACAAACUUUAAUUUUCUAUAUUUAUCUUAUCUAUUUAUAACUCUGUAUUGCUACUUUCACUUUUCAUUGUUUCUCUCACCAUGACGACGUCAAAUUUCAUGCACCACUUUGAGUACUUCAGGGAUUAAAUUCUGUAUAAAAAUUGUCCUGAUGAAGCCUGCCUUGCAGGCGAAACAUGUAGACAUAGAUAAUAAAAUUGCAGAUCUU